ACAGGGUGCCAUAUCACCCUGCAGCCCAAGACUGGUUGCUCAUUGACGCUAAGCAGGGUUGAGCUGGUCAGUACCUGGAUGGGAGACCUCCUGGGAAAACUAGGUUGCUGCUGGAA
rnacentral:rRNA from 1 species